ACAACAACAACAACGACAACAUCGACAACAACGACAACAUUGAUAGCAAUGACAAAAACAACAACAACAACAACAACAACAACAACAACAACAACAACAACAACAACAAACAAGACGACGACGACCAUGCCAAAGACGACAACGACGAUAUCAACGAAAACAACAGCAACAACUAAAGCAACGAAGAUGACGACGACGAUAAUGACGACAACAACAACAACAACAACAACAACAACAACAACAACAACAAUAACAACAACAAUGACGACGACGACGACGAAGACAAUAACGACGACAACAACACAAUGACGAGAACAAUGACAACGCCGACAAUAAC
rnacentral:lncRNA from 1 species